ACCAGGACCCCGGGCUCGGAGCAGGACGCCAAGGAUCGUUUUAAGAAAAUGGCAGACAAACCGGACAGGUCGAAUCGCCAGAUUCGAUAAGGCCAAGCUGAAUAAAACCGAGACGCAGGAGAAGAACACCCUGCCAACCAAAGAGACCAUCGAGCAGGAGAAGUGGAGUGAAAUUUCCUAAGACUUUAGCGGAUCCCCUAUCCCCGUCCUCUCGAGACCCCAGUCGUGAUGUGGAGGAAGAGACACCUGCCAGAUGGACAUGAGCCACAAGCUGCACUGUGAACCCGGGCACUCAGCGCCAGGGUCGCCGGCCUGCGGGCCAUGGAGGGGACCCCCAAUUGGACUGCCAAAUUCUCCAGUUUGCCCUGGGAUAUUAUAGAAAAUUGUUUGUAUGAUUAAUGAAAAUAAAACCCACUUCGUGGCAAAAAAAAAAAA